CCAUCACACUUCACAGCCUAUACCGUGGCCAUCGGAUGGGGACUGCCUGCGGUUGUGGUGGCCCUCACCUUAGGAAUUAGUUACAGAGUGGAUGAUCCACUGGGUUACAGGCAGGAGGAAUUUUGCUGGCUUGCUGCCCUCGAUCCAAAG